GACGAACGCUGGCGGCGUGCUUAACACAUGCAAGUCGAGCGGUAAGGCCCUUUCGGGGGUACACGAGCGGCGAACGGGUGAGUAACACGUGGGUGACCUGCCCUUAGCUCUGGGAUAAGCCUGGGAAACUGGGUCUAAUACCGGAUAUGACUCCAUAACGCAUGUUGUGGGGUGGAAAGCCUUGUGCGGCUAGGGAUGGGCCCGCGGCCUAUCAGCUUGUCGGUGGGGUGAUGGCCACCAAGGCGACGACGGGUAGCCGGCCUGAGAGGGCGACCGGCCACACUGGGACUGAGACACGGCCCAGACUCCUACGGGAGGCAGCAGUGGGGAAUCUUGCGCAAUGGGCGAAAGCCUGACGCAGCGACGCCGCGU
rnacentral:rRNA from 1 species